ensembl:lncRNA
AUGAUACAUAUAGUCAUGGUUCCAAUUACAAUCGUGACAAUAUUUAUAACAGUAAUGAAAACUUAUUCGAAAUGUAUGAUUCUAAAAAUAAUAAAAAAAUUAUUUAUUGUACUGUUAAAAAUCAUUACAAUCCUAUUAAAGAAAAUAAAAAUGAUAAAAAUAAAAAUGAUAAAAAAAAAAACAGAUUUUCAAGACAUUGUUUAUAAAAAUGAUAUAUAUGAUUAUUUACUAUACCAGUAUGAAAAUAAUUAUAAAAAUUUAGUUAAUUUGAAAUUACCUGAACAAAAUAGUAUAAACCAACAAAACCAGUUUAUCUUUUCAAAAAUAAAUACAUCACCAGGUAACGUUCUUCCCAUAAAAGUGGAUAAAGAAAAAAAAGAAAAAAAUUAUAAAACAGAAGAAACAACCGGACUUACAAAUAGUAACAAUGUUAAUAUGUAUUUUAAAAAAAUAAUAAACAUUUUAGAUUAUAAUAGUAUUAUUAAAAAACAGAAUACGGAUAUACCUAAAUGUGAUGAUACUGUACCUGUUGGUAAUGUACCUGUUGAUAAUGUACCUGUUGGUAAUGUACCUGUUGGUAAUAUACCUGUUGAUAAUAUACCUGUUGAUAAUGUACAUAAAAUAGAUCACAAAAAAGUUGGUAUUACCGAUAUAAGUACAGGUCCUACUGAUAUACAACCCAUAAAUUCUUAUAUAAAAACAAAAUUAGAAACAAUGGAGGUCCAACUCGAAACAGUAAAAAAACAAAAUAUAUUCCAACGUAGUACUAAGAAGUUAACUUUAAAAGAUAAGGAUAAGGAUGACACAGAUAUAUAUAAAUACAUUAACAAAGUAUAUACAGAAGAACCUAAGUUGUUUUUAUACUACGACAAACGGGAUGUUAACGAAAAAUGGGAUGUUAACGACAAACGAGAAAGAUUGAAUAAAAAAAAAACUAAUAAAUGUAAUUUAAUACAAAUAAAUAAAACUUUUAAACAUAUUUUUAAAAAAUUGAUUUAUGAAAACACAGUAGUUAUUAGUAAUAUAGGUGAAAAAAUAGAUACAACACCAUUUUCAUCUGAUAUAAUUAAUAUAAAAAACAAAAAUAAUUUUUUUUGUUUUGAUACUAAAAAAAAACAGACAGAUAGUAUUUAUUCUUAUAUUACAUCUAGUCAUAACAAAAUUAACUACAUUUAUUUGAAUUACGAGUUGUCGCUUUUGGAAGAUAACAGUGGGAUGACUAUUAGUAAUGGAGAUGGCGAUGUAAUUAGUGGAUAUAACGAUGUAGUUAGUGGGGAUAACGAUAUAGUUAAUGGGGAUAACGAUAUAGUUAGUGGGGAUAUAACUAGCGAUUACGUUUCUAGUAAGGAUAUAACUACGGAUGAUACAUUUAGUAGUAUAACAACGAGUAGCAACCCAACCCAAAGCAAAAUAAUUAACAACCAUAUGAUAGACCACACAAACAAAACUGCUCAAAUAAUAAAAAGUAACAAACAUAUCGCAACAAAUAAAUUUUUAACAUUUUCUUUUUAUUUUUCAAAUAUUAUUAUCAUCCAUAUAAAUAGUAAAAAUUAUGAAACUACACUUUCAUUAAUAGCUAGCUAUCAUGACAUUAUUGAGAACAUUAAAAAAAAUAUAAAAAAAAAAAAAAACAAACAAAAAAAAGGAAAACAUACGGAAGUGCAUACAAGACAGUCAUCAGUGUCACUACAUAAUAAUAAUAAUUUAAUAGUUGUUGACAAAAGAACACAAACAAAAAAAAAACAACAAAAAAGAACGAAUGAAUAAACAAGUUCACGAAAAAAAAACGUAUGACCACUUCUGUGGCUUCACAAAAAACGUCCAACUUAGAUAGUGAUAGAUUAUACCCAAAAAAUAAAUCCAACAAAGAUAAUAUACA